AGAGUUUGAUCCUGGCUCAGGACGAACGCUGGCGGCGUGCUUAACACAUGCAAGUCGAACGAUGAAGCCGCUUCGGUGGUGGAUUAGUGGCGAACGGGUGAGUAACACGUGGGCAAUCUGCCCUGCACUCUGGGACAAGCCCUGGAAACGGGGUCUAAUACCGGAUAUGACACGGGAUCGCAUGGUCUCCGUGUGGAAAGCUCCGGCGGUGCAGGAUGAGCCCGCGGCCUAUCAGCUUGUUGGUGGGGUGAUGGCCUACCAAGGCGACGACGGGUAGCCGGCCUGAGAGGGCGACCGGCCACACUGGGACUGAGACACGGCCCAGACUCCUACGGGAGGCAGCAGUGGGGAAUAUUGCACAAUGGGCGCAAGCCUGAUGCAGCGACGCCGCGUGAGGGAUGACGGCCUUCGGGUUGUAAACCUCUUUCAGCAGGGAAGAAGCGAGAGUGACGGUACCUGCAGAAGAAGCACCGGCUAACUACGUGCCAGCAGCCGCGGUAAUACGUAGGGUGCGAGCGUUGUCCGGAAUUAUUGGGCGUAAAGAGCUCGUAGGCGGCUUGUCGCGUCGGAUGUGAAAGCCCGGGGCUUAACCCCGGGUCUGCAUUCGAUACGGGCAGGCUAGAGUUCGGCAGGGGAGAUUGGAAUUCCUGGUGUAGCGGUGAAAUGCGCAGAUAUCAGGAGGAACACCGGUGGCGAAGGCGGAUCUCUGGGCCGAUACUGACGCUGAGGAGCGAAAGCGUGGGGAGCGAACAGGAUUAGAUACCCUGGUAGUCCACGCCGUAAACGUUGGGCACUAGGUGUGGGCGGCAUUCCACGUCGUCCGUGCCGCAGCUAACGCAUUAAGUGCCCCGCCUGGGGAGUACGGA
rnacentral:rRNA from 1 species